rnacentral:lncRNA from 1 species
ACUAUUCUUUUAAAAGAUACCAUCAUUCUAUCAUUUUUUAUCAAUUUCUACAGUAUAUUUUAGAGUUAUUGUGGUAUUCUAUUUUAUACUCGUAUUCUCAUAGAUCUCAUUAAGUUAUCUUUAGGGAAAACUUCAAAAACCCCCCCUGUGGUUUCGUGCAUUCUCACUUUGCUACCCUGUGGUUUAAAAUGUAUCAAUUUACCCCCCUGUGGUUUCAUUUUUAUCUUUUCGGAAGCUUUUUCGUUAAUAUUUCGUUAAAUUAUAUACAAAAAACUUCAGAUAACCAUCUAUAUUUAUCAAAUAGUCACUUUAGUAUCCUUUAAUUUUAACUUUGUCACUGAUUUUAAAAAAAAAUAAUAAUAAAAUUGAUAACAAAAAGAUAAAAACGAAAUCACAGGGGGGCAAAUUGAUACGUUUUAAACCACAGGGUAGCAAAGUGAGAAUGCACGAAACCACAGGGGGGGUUUUUGAAGUUUUCCCUUAUCUUUAUUUCGGCAAUCUAUAUAUAUGUCUUACU